CUUUAAAAGACAGAGGUCCAUGCUCUAUGCAGGAAUCUUCACUUGUUUGUUUUGGGUGAUUUUAUUUGGUUUGCGGAUCUUCAGCAGCAGCAAAAAAAAAACUGAUGCCAAGAAGGACAAUUUUGCCUCUACUAUGUGAUGAAACCCUCAUAUCUGCCAAACAGGUUUCAGAUGGACAGUCCUGAUUCAGUUUUAUUGGCUCUUUAUUUGAUUAGAAACCAGCAAACCAACAAACAGUGCACAUAGACACAUGGACCUUCAGGUAACAACAUGAAACCACCACAACAGCAGAAUCAGCUUUCCAGCCAGCUGCUGGGACUUAUCAGUGAGCAGAAGAGUCAGUGCCUUCAGUCUCAGCCAGAGGACAGACAGACAGCCUGUCAGUUUACUUACAUUUGCAAUGGAAUUAUCAAAGUAGCGCUCCAGUGCAGACUCGUCCAUGACUGCUGAAGCAUUUUCCGAUCCAGGACUUUCCAGGGGCUUCCAGGUCUGCAGGUCUGCUGUCCUGGAUCAGCCUGGAUUGGAUUCAGCUGUGACUGCAGAGCUGAGCUGCUCAGUGUCACACCAAACCUUUUCCUCAGGAGCAGAGACUUUAUCAUCUGUGAAACCACAGCCCAAAAAACAUCCCUCUGAUUCUGUUCUUCCUUUGAUUUCUCAAAGAUACAAAACCUGUUUGACACAGUGGGGUCCAGCUGCAGACGCCUGCUGAACAGCGCCUCCUGCAGGAUUCAAAAGGCUGCUGUUAACCUGAGGAGCGAAGCUCGGACCUGGAUGAUAGACCUCCAGGUCACCAUCAGGAAUGGCCGCGCCCAGCAGAGGCAAUAUGACUUCAUGAACAGGCAGUUCUACGAGGCUGUGAACGCCUGCUACAGACACGGCAAAAUCUCCAAAAAGGAGCUGAAGAGGGCAAAGAAGGACUGGGAGGAGCAGAUGAGGAACGUAAAGGAGGAGGACAAGAGAAGGAAGAAGCUUUGGGGAAGCUACUAGAGGGGACAGGUUUUAGGAUUUGGAGAUGGGAGGUGGACACUGAUGAUGAGGCGGGGAUUUGAGUAGCAAAGACACGUGGGAGCCAAAAGAAGAACAGGAGAUCAGAGCUUCAAAGGAGCUCAAAAUGUAGAUUUUCUGUGCAACAUUUGCCCACUGUGCACCACUCUUGGUCAAACCUGGAAGAAGCUUCCCUCUCUCUGUGAGCCUUCCCUAAAGGGCCACAGUGUGACUGUCAUGCCCAGGACAAGAUGACCUCCAUAGGUGCCCCCCAACUGCCUCCCACCAACCCACCCCUCCCCCCAGGAUAGAGGAUCCUCCUGGGCCCCGCUUGAAGCACACCCCACGACAAGUGACCUGGUGUUCCUCCCUGCCGGCUGCCCUGCU